ensembl:lincRNA
GCCCCUUUAAGAACCCCUGUGAGGGCCAUUGUGGCAGUUGGAGCCUGGUGGAAGGACCAGGUGGCAGGGAUUCAUCAGCAUCAUAGCAGAGGACUUUAAUUCACCCCUGUCAGGAGGGAAAGUCAUCAAGGAAUCCAGAAACAAUGAUUUCCUCCCAGAGACAGAAGAACAGCUUAAGAUGGCACCACGUGGAGCAUCUAGCUAACAGCCUAUUGGAAGCAUAUGCAACACUGCUAUGUCAUCAGUCCAUGAUCCUGGCCAUAAACUCCAGCUCUGUGGAUCCCUUACAACAAUACGACACCCAGUUGGAGAUCAUAAAAUCAUCUUUUAAAAUGAUAUUUGGCCUACCGAGUUUUGACGAAGGAACAGUUCGGACCAGUGGUGAGGAUGCCGAGGAACUGGAGAUUUUAUAUAAAAAUAUUUUAAGUCUGCUCGAGGACACUCUUCUGAUCUUAGUAUCUAAAGACCUCUACAAACUGCAGAUCUUAAAGGAAAUGAUGGUGUGGAUGAGAGAAGACAAUUUGUACCUGCAAGAGAAACCACUGGUGAUCAUCAGCAAGGUGUUAAGAUUUGCAUCCAGGAAAGUCAGGGAACAUACAAGUAUUGAUGCUCCAUGUUUAGGUGUCCUGGCAGCAGAGCUGUCUCUUUUAUAUUCCCACGCGGAUCUCACCAUCGUACAACAAGCUUCCCUGGCAGUAUAUUACCUCCUCAGCAUUGCAAAACGUCAGAUGGCAGACUUCCAAAAAUAUAAAGCUAAGAUGCAGUAUGAGUGUGGAAAUUCCUGCCUCCUGCCUCCUGAUUCUGAAUUCCGACCCGGGAUCUUGAAACAAGACAAAACUAAACUCGCUCAGAGCAUAGGACAAACCUUACUGCCCUCCCUGCUGACUGACUUUGUGUUGUAUCUCCUGACGAAACUCUCCACAUCUAAUCAAGAAACCACAACCAAAGCAGCAGCCAUACUGAAACUGACUCUGAAAUAUCACGCCCAGAAGAUCACCAGGGUGUCUCAGCUGGUGGACACUAUUUAUAAGCAACUGAAUGAAAAUCCUUCUUACUUUAUAAAGGAUGUCUUGUUGGAGGUUGCCACCUUGUUGACACAAUCGUCGCCCAAAGCUGUCAUCUUUCAGCUCUUGGACUACCCAGUCCCAGCGGACAAAGCUGUGAUGCUGAUGUGGCAGGCAGUGGGCACCAAGCCACAAGUCGCCCCGCAGGUGCUGAAGGCAAUCCUCUUGGUGCUGAAGGACAAGCCUUGGGAGGUGGAGGACAGCCUGCAGGAAGGGAAAUGCUUCAUCUUGGAUGCCACCAACAUGAUGCCUCUGGCGGCAUCCCAGGCCCUGUGCGUGCUUUUGCCUAUAAAUUCCUAUAACAAAACAGUGGCCCAGUUUUUUCCUGAGCUCUUCAUGGCCCUCAUGUUUCAACUCCUCUACAUCAGUCAGCUGAGAGUGCAGACCCAGGACAGGCCUCUCUAUGCCAGGGAGGCACUGAGAAUUCUGCUGAAUUGCUCAGGACUGCAACACGUGGAUACGGCUCUAAAGAACAAGUUUUUCUGGAGUCAUAUUUACCAGACAUAUUACUACCAUGAUGGGGUGAACCUCAUGGCCAGAACUCUCUGUGACUGUAACUUCCCACAAUUUCCAGAAACCUUACGUUAUCUCUACAAGAUCUUAGUGCAAGGCCCUAGGAGGUCAGAAGAGCAUAUCAUCAUAGUAACAUUCUUCAUCAAAAUUCUGGAUAAGUUCUUCAAGGACCCACUCCCAGAAUUAUUUUUGGUCUUCCUCAGAAACUGGAUCAGUGAUUCCAAUCCUGAAAUUAGCAAAUUAAGCCUUCAGAAAAUCACCAGCAUGGCCCCGGUUGUCAAUAAGAUAGAAAAUGUCUCCAGCUUAUUAACAUCCAUCCUGGAUGCCUUCGUAUCCAGAGAGGACACUGUUGUGAUUCAAGCCUUGCUCACCCUCCGAAAACUUGUAGACAAACUGGACAAGGUGACCUACUCCUCGCUGUGCACUAGAAUUGCUUCCAGCUACUUCUGUCUGAUGGAUCAUUUUUCUGGGAGUGUCCGGAGCUUGGCUAUCAGGCACUUGGCGGACUUACUCAAGGACGUGGGUCAGCAAACAUCAACUCUCAAACACAUCAUGAGAGGACUCGCACCCCUCCUUCUCUGUCUGGAGGACAGCGAUGGUAGAGUAGUGAGUGCAUGUAAAUAUACAUUAAAAAUCUGUGACUCCGAACUAGAAUGGUCAAUAGCAAAUCUGCUUAAAGAUGAAAAUUACAAUUUUGAGCUGGUAGUUCUCUACACCUGCAACCAUCUGAUCCUUUCUCACGAGAGUUGCACUACGUAUUUAAUAUGUGAUGCCUUACGGUUCCUGGGGAAUCCCCAGGUGCAUCUGAGGAGAGCAGCAGUUAUUUUACUAGGUUACUUGGCGCAAUUGGGUGGACAUUUAUUAUUCAAAGAUGAAAUUGAAGUUAUGACUGAAGCUGUUGAACGAAUGCUCCAGGAUGAAGGCCCUGGGAUCCAGAAGCUGGCAGAAAUAACCCACAACCUUUUAAAGAAAAUAGCCAAUAGACCAAGAUCUACAACUAUUAAACUUGCUAUCCAGAGAUUCUUUAAGUUCUCCGCCAAGGAACUGAAGCUUAUUUAUAAUUGGAAAAGUACCACACAGACAGACCUGUAAGCUUCCUCUCUCGAUAACCUACCUGCGUCGGUAGAUGCUUUUCUGAAAGAUGCUACAGGCUUUCACUGCCCCUUUUCAAUUCUCUAUUGAAAUGUAUAAAUCUGAAAACUCUACUGCCUCUGUGUGUCUGGCAGUGACUAGAAGUCAUUCCUCACUUCUAGUGGGGAAUAGGUUCCAGGUCCCCAACAGAUCUGAACCCGACGGCUGUUUAAGUCCCUUACACAAAAUGGCAUAGUAUUUGCACAUAAGCUACACAUAUCCUCCCACAUAUUUUAUAUUUUAGAUUACUUAUAAUGCCUGAUACAAUGUGCAUGCUGCAUAAAUAAUUGUUAUAUGAGAUUGUUUAGGAAGUAAUGACAAAAAAUGUGCAGAUUUAGUGCAGACACAGAUAUCCCAAUAUUUCCCAUUCAUGGUUGAUUGAAUCCGUGGAUGUGAAAUCCACAAAUAUGGCUUAUACCCCACUGUAUCAGCAUGGUUCGGGUGAGAGGCUCUUGGAAAUUGAUUGAGUGAGCAUGUGCCG